rnacentral:rRNA from 1 species
CGGGGCUUAAAGUCUUGUAAUUGGAAUGAUGGGAAUUUAAACCUCUUCCAGAGUAUCAAUUGGAGGGCAAGUCUGGUGCCAGCAGCCGCGGUAAUUCCAGCUCCAAUAGCGUAUAUUAAAAUUGUUGCAGUUAAAAAGCUCGUAGUUGAAUUUCUGCUGCAUUGCUUGUGUCCCUCUGGGGUUUGUGCAUGUGGCUUUUUUCGGACGGAGUUUCUUUGUCUGAAUGUUUACUUUGAGAAAAUUAGAGUGCUCAAAGCAGGCUUUCGCCUUGAAUAGUUUAGCAUGGAAUAAUAAAGUAGGACUUUGGUUCUAUUUUGUUGGUUUUAGGUACCAAAGUAAUGGUUAAUAGGAACAGUUGGGGGCAUUCGUAUUUAACUGUCAGAGGUGAAAUUCUUAGAUUUGUUAAAGACGAACUACUGCGAAAGCAUUUGCCAAGGAUGUUUUCAUUAAUCAAGAAC